rnacentral:piRNA from 1 species
UGACAUCCUGGUCCUGGGACUGCAAAC